rnacentral:rRNA from 1 species
UACGUAGGGGGGCUAGCGUUGUCCGGAAUCAUUGGGCGUAAAGAGCGUGUAGCGGCCCGGUAAGUCCGCCGUGAAAGUCCAGGGCUCAACCCUGGGAUGCCGGUGGAAACUGUCGGGCUAGAGUCCGGAAGAGGCGAGUGGAAUUCCUGGUGUAGCGGUGAAAUGCGCAGAUAUCAGGAAGAACACCCGUGGCGAAGGCGGCUCUCUGGAACGGUACUGACGCUGAGACGCGAAAGCGUGGGGAGCGAACAGG